AGCCAUGUAGUGAGCACACAGCGAACUAUUCUUUCGCCUUUUACUAAAGAAUACCGUGUGCUCGCUGCAUCUAGUGGCAUACGUUUAUUUUUGGAGGGAGUUCUUAUGGGACUUCC
rfam:Beta vulgaris subsp. vulgaris chromosome 8, whole genome shotgun sequence.